GUAGAUAACACAGAGGUAUGGACUAG
rnacentral:piRNA from 1 species